rnacentral:rRNA from 1 species
GAUGAACGCUGGCGGCGUGCCUAAUACAUGCAAGUCGAGCGAACGGACGAGAAGCUUGCUUCUCUGAUGUUAGCGGCGGACGGGUGAGUAACACGUGGAUAACCUACCUAUAAGACUGGGAUAACUUCGGGAAACCGGAGCUAAUACCGGAUAAUAUUUUGAACCGCAUGGUUCAAAAGUGAAAGACGGUCUUGCUGUCACUUAUAGAUGGAUCCGCGCUGCAUUAGCUAGUUGGUAAGGUAACGGCUUACCAAGGCAACGAUGCAUAGCCGACCUGAGAGGGUGAUCGGCCACACUGGAACUGAGACACGGUCCAGACUCCUACGGGAGGCAGCAGUAGGGAAUCUUCCGCAAUGGGCGAAAGCCUGACGGAGCAACGCCGCGUGAGUGAUGAAGGUCUUCGGAUUGUAAAACUCUGUUAUUAGGGAAGAACAUAUGUGUAAGUAACUGUGCACAUCUUGACGGUACCUAAUCAGAAAGCCACGGCUAACUACGUGCCAGCAGCCGCGGUAAUACGUAGGUGGCAAGCGUUAUCCGGAAUUAUUGGGCGUAAAGCGCGCGUAGGCGGUUUUUUAAGUCUGAUGUGAAAGCCCACGGCUCAACCGUGGAGGGUCAUUGGAAACUGGAAAACUUGAGUGCAGAAGAGGAAAGUGGAAUUCCAUGUGUAGCGGUGAAAUGCGCAGAGAUAUGGAGGAACACCAGUGGCGAAGGCGACUUUCUGGUCUGUAACUGACGCUGAUGUGCGAAAGCGUGGGGAUCAAACAGGAUUAGAUACCCUGGUAGUCCACGCCGUAAACGAUGAGUGCUAAGUGUUAGGGGGUUUCCGCCCCUUAGUGCUGCAGCUAACGCAUUAAGCACUCCGCCUGGGGAGUACGACCGCAAGGUUGAAACUCAAAGGAAUUGACGGGGACCCGCACAAGCGGUGGAGCAUGUGGUUUAAUUCGAAGCAACGCGAAGAACCUUACCAAAUCUUGACAUCCUUUGACAACUCUAGAGAUAGAGCUUUCCCCUUCGGGGGACAAAGUGACAGGUGGUGCAUGGUUGUCGUCAGCUCGUGUCGUGAGAUGUUGGGUUAAGUCCCGCAACGAGCGCAACCCUUAAGCUUAGUUGCCAUCAUUAAGUUGGGCACUCUAAGUUGACUGCCGGUGACAAACCGGAGGAAGGUGGGGAUGACGUCAAAUCAUCAUGCCCCUUAUGAUUUGGGCUACACACGUGCUACAAUGGACAAUACAAAGGGCAGCGAAACCGUGAGGUCAAGCAAAUCCCAUAAAGUUGUUCUCAGUUCGGAUUGUAGUCUGCAACUCGACUACAUGAAGCUGGAAUCGCUAGUAAUCGUAGAUCAGCAUGCUACGGUGAAUACGUUCCCCGGGUCU